ACACCUACGGGGGGCAGCAGUGAGGAAUAUUGGUCAAUGGGAGAGAUCCUGAACCAGCCAAGCCGCGUGAGGGAAGACGGCCCUAUGGGUUGUAAACCUCUUUUGUCGGAGAACAAAACCCGGGACGUGUCCCGGACUGCGUGUAUCCGAAGAAAAAGCAUCGGCUAACUACGUGCCAGCAGCCGCGGUAAUACGUAGGGGGCGAGCGUUAUCCGGAUUUACUGGGUGUAAAGGGGGCGCAGACGGCCAUGGCAAGCCCGGUGUGAAAGGUGCGGGC
rnacentral:rRNA from 1 species